GACGAACGCUGGCGGCGUGCUUAACACAUGCAAGUCGAACGGAAAGGCCCUGCUUUUGUGGGGUGCUCGAGUGGCGAACGGGUGAGUAACACGUGAGUAACCUGCCCUUGACUUUGGGAUAAUUUCAGGAAACUGGGGCUAAUACCGGAUAGGAGCUCCUGCUGCAUGGUGGGGGUUGGAAAGUUUCGGCGGUUGGGGAUGGACUCGCGGCUUAUCAGCUUGUUGGUGGGGUAGUGGCUUACCAAGGCUUUGACGGGUAGCCGGCCUGAGAGGGUGACCGGCCACAUUGGGACUGAGAUACGGCCCAGACUCCUACGGGAGGCAGCAGUGGGGAAUAUUGCACAAUGGGCGGAAGCCUGAUGCAGCAACGCCGCGUGCGGGAUGACGGCCUUCGGGUUGUAAACCGCUUUCGCCUGUGACGAAGCGUGAGUGACGGUAAUGGGUAAAGAAGCACCGGCUAACUACGU
rnacentral:rRNA from 1 species